GAUGAAGAACGCAGCGAAAUGCGAUACGUAAUGUGAAUUGCAGAAUUCAGUGAAUCAUCGAGUCUUUUAACGCACAUUGCGCCCCCUGGUAUUCCGGGGGGCAUGCCUGUCCGAGCGUCAUUGCUGCCCUCAAGCACGGCUUGUGUGUUGGGCCUCCGUCCUCCUCCCGGGGGACGGGCCCGAAAGGCAGCGGCGGCACCGCGUCCGGUCCUCGAGCGUAUGGGGCUUCGUCACCCGCUCUUGUAGGCCCGGCCGGCGCUUGCCGACACAUCAAUCUUUUUUCCAGGUUGACCUCGGAUCAGGUAGGGAUACCCGCUGAACUUAAGCAUAUCAAUAAGCGGAGGA
rnacentral:misc_RNA from 1 species